UACGUAGGGCGCAAGCGUUGUCCGGAAUUAUUGGGCGUAAAGAGCUCGUAGGUGGCUUGUCGCGUCGGAUGUGAAAGACUCGGGCUUAACUCGGGUUCUGCAUUCGAUACGGGCUGGCUAGAGGUAGGUAGGGGAGAACGGAAUUCCUGGUGUAGCGGUGAAAUGCGCAGAUAUCAGGAGGAACACCGGUGGCGAAGGCGGUUCUCUGGGCCUUACCUGACGCUGAGGAGCGAAAGCGUGGGGAGCGAACAGGAUUAGAUACCCUGGUAGUCCACGCUGUAAACGUUGGGCGCUAGGUGUGGGGGGCUUCCACGUCCUCCGUGCCGUAGCUAACGCAUUAAGCGCCCCGCCUGGGGAGUACGGCCGCAAGGCUAAA
rnacentral:rRNA from 1 species